rnacentral:rRNA from 1 species
GAUGAACGCUGGCGGCGUGCCUAAUACAUGCCAGUCGAGCGAACAGACGAGGAGCUUGCUCCUCUGACGUUAGCGGCGGACGGGUGAGUAACACGUGGAUAACCUACCUAUAAGACUGGGAUAACUUCGGGAAACCGGAGCUAAUACCGGAUAAUAUAUUGAACCGCAUGGUUCAAUAGUGAAAGACGGUUUUGCUGUCACUUAUAGAUGGAUCCGCGCCGCAUUAGCUAGUUGGUAAGGUAACGGCUUACCAAGGUGACGAUGCGUAGCCGACCUGAGAGGGUGAUCGGCCACACUGGAACUGAGACACGGUCCAGACUCCUACGGGAGGCAGCAGUAGGGAAUCUUCCGCAAUGGGCGAAAGCCUGACGGAGCAACGCCGCGUGAGUGAUGAAGGUCUUCGGAUCGUAAAACUCUGUUAUUAGGGAAGAACAAAUGUGUAAGUAACUAUGCACGUCUUGGCGGUACCUAAUCAGAAAGCCACGGCUAACUACGUG